rnacentral:misc_RNA from 1 species
AUCUUUUUUAAUUGUAUUUAAAACCCACCCUUUUUUGAAAAAAAAUUUUUACAUGUUUAUUUACUUGAAAUGAGUACGCGCGAAAAAGAUCGCGCGGAGAUUGAUAAUGAUCCUUCCGCAGGUUCACCUACGGAAA